UGUUUCGGCUAGGGGGCCAUCCCGGCUUACCAACCCGAUGCAAACUGCGAAUACCGGAGAAUGUUAUCACGGGAGACACACGGCGGGUGCUAACGUCCGUCGUGAAGAGGGAAACAACCCAGACCGCCAGCUAAGGUCCCAAAGUCAUGGUUAAGUGGGAAACGAUGUGGGAAGGCCCAGACAGCCAGGAUGUUGGCUUAGAAGCAGCCAUCAUUUAAAGAAAGCGUAAUAGCUCACUGGUCGAGUCGGCCUGCGCGGAAGAUGUAACGGGGCUAAACCAUGCACCGAAGCUGCGGCAGCGACACUGUGUGUUGUUGGGUAGGGGAGCGUUCUGUAAGCCUGCGAAGGUGGCCUGUGAGGGUUGCUGGAGGUAUCAGAAGUGCGAAUGCUGACAUAAGUAACGAUAAAGCGGGUGAAAAGCCCGCUCGCCGGAAGACCAAGGGUUCCUGUCCAACGUUAAUCGGGGCAGGGUGAGUCGACCCCUAAGGCGAGGCCGAAAGGCGUAGUCGAUGGGAAACGGGUUAAUAUUCCCGUACUUGGUGUUACUGCGAAGGGGGGACGGAGAAGGCUAUGUUGGCCGGGCGACGGUUGUCCCGGUUUAAGCGUGUAGGCUGGUUUUCCAGGCAAAUCCGGAAAAUCAAGGCUGAGGCGUGACGACGAGGCACUACGGUGCUGAAGCAACAAAUGCCCUGCUUCCAGGAAAAGCCUCUAAGCAUCAGGUAACAUCAAAUCGUACCCCAAACCGACACAGGUGGUCAGGUAGAGAAUACCAAGGCGCUUGAGAGAACUCGGGUGAAGGAACUAGGCAAAAUGGUGCCGUAACUUCGGGAGAAGGCACGCUGACAUGUAGGUGAAGUGAUUUACUCAUGGAGCUGAAGUCAGUCGAAGAUACCAGCUGGCUGCAACUGUUUAUUAAAAACACAGCACUGUGCAAACACGAAAGUGGACGUAUACGGUGUGACGCCUGCCCGGUGCCGGAAGGUUAAUUGAUGGGGUCAGCGCAAGCGAAGCUCCUGAUCGAAGCCCCGGUAAACGGCGGCCGUAACUAUAACGGUCCUAAGGUAGCGAAAUUCCUUGUCGGGUAAGUUCCGACCUGCACGAAUGGCGUAAUGAUGGCCAGGCUGUCUCCACCCGAGACUCAGUGAAAUUGAACUCGCUGUGAAGAUGCAGUGUACCCGCGGCAAGACGGAAAGACCCCGUGAACCUUUACUAUAGCUUGACACUGAACAUUGAGCCUUGAUGUGUAGGAUAGGUGGGAGGCUUUGAAGUGUGGACGCCAGUCUGCAUGGAGCCGGCCUUGAAAUACCACCCUUUAAUGUUUGAUGUUCUAACGUGGACCCGUAAUCCGGGUUGCGGACAGUGUCUGGUGGGUAGUUUGACUGGGGCGGUCUCCUCCUAAAGAGUAACGGAGGAGCACGAAGGUUGGCUAAUCCUGGUCGGACAUCAGGAGGUUAGUGCAAUGGCAUAAGCCAGCUUGACUGCGAGCGUGACGGCGCGAGCAGGUGCGAAAGCAGGUCAUAGUGAUCCGGUGGUUCUGAAUGGAAGGGCCAUCGCUCAACGGAUAAAAGGUACUCCGGGGAUAACAGGCUGAUACCGCCCAAGAGUUCAUAUCGACGGCGGUGUUUGGCACCUCGAUGUCGGCUCAUCACAUCCUGGGGCUGAAGUAGGUCCCAAGGGUAUGGCUGUUCGCCAUUUAAAGUGGUACGCGAGCUGGGUUUAGAACGUCGUGAGACAGUUCGGUCCCUAUCUGCCGUGGGCGCUGGAGAACUGAGGGGGGCUGCUCCUAGUACGAGAGGACCGGAGUGGACGCAUCACUGGUGUUCGGGUUGUCAUGCCAAUGGCACUGCCCGGUAGCUAAAUGCGGAAGAGAUAAGUGCUGAAAGCAUCUAAGCACGAAACUUGCCCCGAG
rnacentral:rRNA from 1 species